rnacentral:rRNA from 1 species
UGAGGAAUAUUGGGCAAUGGGCGAGAGCCUGACCCAGCAACGCCGCGUGGAGGAAGACGGCCUUCGGGUUGUAAACUCCUUUUGACAGGGAAGAGAGAGGACGGUACCUGUCGAAUAAGUCACGGCUAACUCCGUGCCAGCAGCCGCGGUAAUACGGAGGGUGCAAGCGUUGUUCGGAAUUACUGGGCGUAAAGGGCGCGUAGGCGGUAAUAUAAGUCAAAUGUGAAAUCCUCCAGCUUAACUGGAGAACAGCAUCUGAAACUGUGUAACUAGAGUACAGGAGAGGGAAACGGAAUUCCUGGUGUAGCAGUGAAAUGCGUAGAGAUCAGGAGGAACACCGAUGGCGAAGGCAGCCCCCUGGGCCUGUACUGACACUCAUGCACGAAAGCGUGGGGAGCAAACAGG